UACCGCGGUUAUACGAGAGGCCCAAGUUGAUAAGUCCCGGCGUAAAGCGUGGUUAAGAACAAUUAUCAAAACUAAGGCCGAACCCCCUCAAAGCCGUCAUACGCACUCGAGGAGAUGAAGAACCCUCACGAAAGUAGCCUUACGAAACUGACCCCACGAAAGCUAAGAAA
rnacentral:rRNA from 1 species